UACGUAGGGGGCAAGCGUUGUCCGGAAUCAUUGGGCGUAAAGCGCGUGUAGGCGGCCUUGUAAGUCCGUUCUGAAAGCCCGGGGCUCAACCCCGGGAGGCGGAUGGAUACUGCAAGGCUCGAGUACGGAAGAGGCGAGUGGAAUUCCCGGUGUAGCGGCGAAAUGCGCAGAUAUCGGGAGGAACACCAAUGGCGAAGGCAGCUCGCUGGGACGUUACUGACGCUGAGACGCGAAAGCGUGGGGAGCAAACAGG
rnacentral:rRNA from 1 species